rnacentral:rRNA from 1 species
GAUGAACGCUAGCUACAGGCUUAACACAUGCAAGUCGAGGGGCAGCGGGGAGGAUGCUUGCAUUCUCCGCCGGCGACCGGCGCACGGGUGCGUAACGCGUAUCGAACCUACCUCAUACUCGGGCAUAGCCUUGCGAAAGUAAGAUUAAUUCCCGAUGUUCUGCCAAUUUCGCAUGAGAUUGGCAGCAAAGUAUUUCGGUAUGAGAUGGCGAUGCGUCCCAUUAGUUAGUUGGCGGGGUAACGGCCCACCAAGACAUCGAUGGGUAGGGGUUCUGAGAGGAAGGUCCCCCACA